AGGCUGAAUCAUGGUGGGGAAUUAAUGUGUAAUUCAUUAGCUGUUCCUGCAACGGUUAAAGUCCGAGUGCCACCCAGUAA
ncrna:unclassified sequences AdoCbl variant RNA